rnacentral:lncRNA from 1 species
GCUUCGGGGCCACGAGGGGGGGUCUUGGGGAGCGGUCCUGGGCCCCGUGGAAGCGUCCAGAGGGACGACCCCCGAGGCGGGGCGGGGGCUGCGGGCCGGCGGGGGGGUUCCAGGCGCCUGUCUGGACCCAGCCCUUCUGGAGCCUCGGCGGAAGGCGUCCCGGGCCGCGGGCCGGGGCUCCGAGGCCACCUCAGGGCUCAGGGGCGGUGGGCGGGAAAAUUCCUGGGAUGCGUGCGAGGGAAGCCGGGGAGCCGGUCAGGACAGGCGAAGCGGGGCUCCGGGGGAGCAUUCUGGAAUGCAGCGCCCGGGGGGGCUUUCAGGGCGCCUCCGCGGGGGGUGGGGGGCGCGGGCCGGGGAGGGGCUGGGGCGACAUCCGCGGACAGGGGCGGGGGACGGGCUGGGGGGCCGAGGGGUCUUGGAGGCGAUCCCAGGGCCACAGGACGGGCCCCGGGGAGGCCUGGGGGCGGAGGGGGGGAUCUCCCGGGUCGCAGGAGCGGCCGGGGGCUCGGGGGGACGUGGGGAGCCGCGGCAUGUCCUCCCGUAGGCGCCUGGGGGGCCCUGGGGGAUCCCGGGGGGGGCCCGGCCGGGCCCUGCGCGUCCCCGGGCUGCGGAGGCCCGCUUCCGAGCGGCCUGCGGGAGCCCCGGGCCGGGCUGCGGGCGCCCCGCGAGGGCCGGGGUCCCCGAGGGGUCCCUGAGGGGGCGGGGCCGCCGCGCGGCCUGGGGCGCCCCGAGGGGAGCCCCGCGCGCCCCGCCCGCCACCCCGCGGCCGCCCGGCCCUGCCCGCCACUCACCGCCUCGGCCGCUGCCGCUGCCGCCGCCCGGGCCUCCUCGGGCCCCCGCCGCCGCCGUCGCCCCCUCUCCGGCCCGCGAGCUCCCCUCCCUCCUCCCGCCUCCCGCACCGACCACCGCCGCCGCCGCCGCCGUCGCGCUGCGUCACCGCGCCGUGCGUCACCGCCCCUGGCCCCGCCCCGACGGGGCCGCCGCGCGCCGGCAUUAGCUCCCGGCGCGGUGACGAGCGGCGCGCCCGCCAACGGGCGGCGAGGGCAGCGCGAAGGGCGGGAGGGGUGCGCGGAGCCAGGCGGGGGCCGGCGGCCGGGGCCGCGGCGGGGGCGAGCGAGCCGAGGGGCCCGCCCCCUGCUCGCUGGGAUUGGCCGGCCGCAGGCUGACGGACAGUCGGCACGGCCGGCGUCCAGGGGGGUGGGGGGGUGCGGGCGGGCGGGGAAGGGGCGGGGCGCACGCGGCGUUGCCACGGGCAACGGGCCCGGCGGAGCCGGCGAUUGGGCCUCCGUUCCCGCAGGGGGCAGUCUCGCUCCGUCUACCUCCGCGGCCCCCGGCUAA